rnacentral:rRNA from 1 species
GACGAACGCUGGCGGCGUGCCUAACACAUGCAAGUCGAACGGAGAAUUUAGCAAUGAAUUCUUAGUGGCGAACGGGUGAGUAACGCGUAGACAACCUGCCUUUUAGAUGGGGACAACACCGCGAAAGUGGUGCUAAUACCGAAUGUUGCAUUUUGAUCGCAUGAUUGAGAUACUAAAGAUGGCCUCUAUUUAUAAGCUAUCGCUAAACGAUGGGUCCGCGUCUGAUUAGCUAGUUGGUGAGGUAAUGGCUCACCAAGGCGACGAUCAGUAGCCGGUCUGAGAGGAUGAACGGCCACACUGGGACUGAGACACGGCCCAGACUCCUACGGGAGGCAGCAGUGGGGAAUCUUCCGCAAUGGACGAAAGUCUGACGGAGCAACGCCGCGUGAGUGAAGAAGGUUUUCGGAUCGUAAAACUCUGUUUUCAGGGACGAAUGUGCAGAUUGUGAAUAAUGAUUUGUAAUGACGGUACCUGAGUAGAAAGCCACGGCUAACUACGUGCCAGCCGCCGCUGUAA